AUUGAACGCUGGCGGGAUGCCUUACACAUGCAAGUCGAACGGCAGCACGGACUUCGGUCUGGUGGCGAGUGGCGAACGGGUGAGUAAUGUAUCGGAACGUACCUUUCAGUGGGGGAUAACGUAGCGAAAGUUACGCUAAUACCGCAUAUUCUGUGAGCAGGAAAGCAGGGGAUCGCAAGACCUUGCGCUGAUUGAGCGGCCGAUAUCAGAUUAGCUAGUUGGUGGGGUAAAGGCCUACCAAGGCUACGAUCUGUAGCGGGUCUGAGAGGAUGAUCCGCCACACUGGAACUGAGACACGGUCCAGACUCCUACGGGAGGCAGCAGUGGGGAAUUUUGGACAAUGGGGGCAACCCUGAUCCAGCCAUGCCGCGUGAGUGAAGAAGGCCUUCGGGUUGUAAAGCUCUUUCGGCCGGGAAGAAAUCGCAUCAGCUAAUACCUGGUGUGGAUGACGGUACCGGAAUAAGAAGCACCGGCUAACUACGUG
rnacentral:rRNA from 1 species